rnacentral:rRNA from 1 species
ACGGUAGUGUAUUGGCCUACCGUGGCUAUGACGGGUAACGGGGAAUUAGGGUUCGAUUCCGGAGAGGGAGCCUGAGAAACGSCUACCACAUCUAWGGAAGKCAKCAGGCGYGCAAAUUACCCAAUCCUAAUACAGGGAGGUAGUGACAAGAAAYAACAAUACAGAWCCUUACGGUUUUGUAAUUGGAAUGAGUUAAGUAUAAACCCCUUAACAAGUAUCAAUUGGAGGGCAAGUCUGGUGCCAGCAGCCGCGGUAAUUCCAGCUCCAAUAGCGUAUAUUAAAGUUGUUGCAGUUAAAAAGCUCGUAGUUAAUCUUCUGUUAAUUUUUAUAUAUAAUAUCACGAUAUUUAUAUAAUAUUAACAUAAUUCAUAUUACUUUUUAGUAUAUGAAACUUUACUUUGAGAAAAUUAGAGUGCUUAAAGCAGGCUAUUGCCUUGAAUACUCCAGCAUGGAAUAAUAUUAAGGAUUUUUAUUCUUCUUAUUGGUUCUAGAAUAAAAAUGAUGAUUAAUAGGGACAGUUGGGGGCAUUUGUAUUUAACAGUCAGAGGUGAAAUUCUUAGAUUUGUUAAAGACAAACUACUGCGAAAGCAUUUGCCAAGGAUGUUUUCAUUAAUCAAGAACGAAAGUUAGGGGAUCGAAGACGAUCAGAUACCGUCGUA